GACGAACGCUGGCGGCGUGCCUAAUACAUGCAAGUAGAACGCUGAAGGAGGAGCUUGCUCUUCUGGAUGAGUUGCGAACGGGUGAGUAACGCGUAGGUAACCUGCCUGGUAGCGGGGGAUAACUAUUGGAAACGAUAGCUAAUACCGCAUAAGAGUAGAUGUUGCAUGACAUUUACUUAAAAGGUGCAAUUGCAUCACUACCAGAUGGACCUGCGUUGUAUUAGCUAGUUGGUGGGGUAACGGCUUACCAAGGCGACGAUACAUAGCCGACCUGAGAGGGUGAUCGGCCAAAAUGGGACUGAGACACGGCCCAGACUCCUACGGGAGGCAGCAGUAGGGAAUCUUCGGAAAUGGACGGAAGUCUGACCGAGCAACGCCGCGUGAGUGAAGAAGGUUUUCGGAUCGUAAAGCUCUGUUGUAAGAGAAGAACGAGUGUGAGAGUGGAAAGUUCACACUGUGACGGUAUCUUACCAGAAAGGGACGGCUAACUACGUG
rnacentral:rRNA from 1 species